rnacentral:rRNA from 1 species
UACAGGGGGCGCGAGCGUUGCUCGGAAUCACUGGGCGUAAAGCGUACGCAGGCGGGUCGAUAAGUCCGUUGUGAAAUCCCAGGGCUCAACUCUGGAACUGCGAUGGAGACUGUCGAUCUUGAGUACGGGAGAGGGAUGCGGAAUUCCAGGUGUAGCGGUGAAAUGCGUAGAUAUCUGGAGGAACACCGGUGGCGAAGGCGGCUACCUGGACCGGUUCUGACGCUGAUGCGCGAAAGCGUGGGUAGCAAAC